GUGACAAAAUUAACGAAGGCAAGAGCAAGACAUUGACAUUCACCAGUUCACAUACUCUGAUAUCGCCCGCAGGCGCCGACUUAUCGUCGGGUUAUAGUGAAUUACAUACUGGUCUCUGCACUCGUAUCAUACCGCUACAGUUUCAAAGAGAGUGAUGCCGUCGUAUCGUAGUGCCUAUUUAUAACUUCCUGGCGGUAUCCCCAGAAAUACGAUUGAGUUCAUACAUGUAAAGUUUGUGAGUCUACGUAUAGUUCUUAUGUAGAAAACGAAUUAGGACGUUGGAUUUGUCGAAUAAGGAUUCAAUCAACAAGCUUAGUUAAACCUCGCCAUAUUGAGUUUGCCUAUCAUUAAACGCACUACCUGGCGUGGGCGAAUGUGGAUACUUGUCCUAUACAGCAAAUUAAUUUUAUGUUCCCCUGGCUAAUUUUGUGAGGUUAGAAUUGGUUGUUUCCAGUUUUCUAUCACAUGUAGUUGAAUAUGCAUAGAUAAAUUAAGAACCAACCAAUUCUUGAUUAGCUCGAUUGUACUAACUUCAGCCAAUUUUUAAAUUGGAUUCACUCCACCAUUUCUUUGAUUAAUAAUUACUACAGCUUUAACAAAAAUUCACAUGGGUGAUAGUCAUGAUUGGAGACCAUUUGUGUACGGAGGAUUCUCAUCUUGUACAGCUGAAUUUGGUACAUUCCCCAUUGAUACUACAAAAACAAGACUUCAAAUUCAGGGUCAAAAAUUGGAUGGUAGAUUUACUGUUGUUCGUUACAAUGGAAUGUUCCAUGCUUUGUCAAGAAUUACAAGAGAGGAAGGAGUUCGGGCUUUGUAUUCAGGUAUUUGGCCAGCACUCCUACGUCAGUCUACAUAUGGUACUAUCAAAUUUGGGAUUUACUACACACUAAAAAAAUGGAUUGAUCAUCCGGAAGUCGAAGACAUGAUGACCAAUAUAUUCUGUGGCAUUAUUGCUGGCGUGGUAUCCAGCGCAAUAGCCAAUCCAACAGAUGUUUUGAAAGUAAGAAUGCAAGCCUGCUCAACUUCACUGCAGCAAAAGUCUAUGUUUGAGUGUUUUGGAGAUGUUUAUAGACAGGAAGGCAUAUCGGGUUUAUGGCGGGGUGUAGGUCCGACAGCACAGAGGGCAGCGGUGAUAACAGCUGUUGAAUUGCCCAUUUAUGACAUUUGUAAGCAUAGGCUAAUACAGGGCAAUUUAAUGGGUGAUACAGUAUCUAAUCACUUUGUAUCAAGCUUCAUAUCAAGUUUGGGUGGUGCCAUAGCCUCGACUCCUAUUGACGUUGUGCGAGUGCGUCUGAUGAAUCAGCGACGCCUUAAAUCUGGAGUACGGUUCGGGUUUGGAAUGAGUAGUGAUUUUACUCUUCAUAAAUCGAGACUCUACCGUGGAACCAUAGAUUGCUUCAUACAGACCGUCCGACAUGAAGGUGUCAUGGCUCUUUAUCGUGGUUUCAUUCCAACUUGGUUGCGCAUGGGCCCCUGGAACAUGAUUUUCUUCAUUACAUACGAACAGCUAAAAAAGCUAUACUAAUUAAAUUUUAGGUGGUGUGUUACUGCUUUCAUUAAGUUAACACGAAAUUGCUCCCUACGUCCUUCCCUCCUCGCAUCUGACUAAGGGAUUUGUAUUAUCAGUACAUUUCGUCCGAGUUAGACUAAUACAAAUAAUAAAAGGGGUCAUCACCAAGACUGUUUUCGGAUAUUCAAACCUCCCGCCCAUCGAAGCUCAGUUUAAAGAAACCAUUAACUCCUCAAAGACCACAAGUACACCUGUUACCACCACCCGGUUCCAAAUCGAUGAUUGCUUGGAUUCAAGAAAAAACAAUGCUCGUGACUCGGUGUCGCCAACGUGAUACAAAGUUAUUCAACUCUUUACAUCAAACCUGUUGAGAAGGAUGCCCCAGGCUGGAUUACUCCAAUUGAAAAUGAAUGGACACAGGUAACAAGUUUAGAGAGACUUUUAUCAGAUCACCUUGCAACCUCUUACUUUCAUUUGAAAGUAAUUCAAGUAGGUCGUCCUAAUGCAAUAAUAAUUUCCGAUUUAAUUUUUUGAUUAGUUCAUUUAUAGCACUCAUGCAAGAUGCAACCACCAUUUAGACAUCUUAAAAACGUAUUUUAGGAUAUGCAAACUAUGGCACUAAGUUAAUUUUUAUAUAAUACUUCGCAUGUUUGUCGCAUGUGAAAAAGAAUAAAAAUGGAAUGUGAUGCCUAGGUAGCAUAAUGAGGUCAGAAGAUUGCCCAACAUCUAUGGAAAAAUGACUUGAUUGAUGAACCAGCUAUAUUUAGCAGGUUGGCUUUAUUGGAGAACUGUUAAACAUUUGAUAUUCAUAAUGUUCGCAAGGCUUUUAAGAAAAUAGUUUUCAUUGCACUGGUGACAAUUCGGAAUGGCGAGGUGCGAAUGAAUCGGAUUAAAAGUCAGCGUGGAAAUGCAAUAGUUCCGCAGCUGGCAAGAAAUGAGAGGACGAUUGGUGAUGAGACAGUUUAUUCUAAUCGCUGUAACUCAUGGACACGUCGACAUUCGUGGUAAUCAAACUUAGAACGUCUGCAAUGCGAAAUUUUUCACCAAUAUAAAGGAAAGCUGCAAACAUAUUUUCAGCAUUUUUAAUAAAAAAAUAAGCGCGUUCAUUCCCUUCAACCAAUUGUCAACGCGAGGCCCCGUAGGAACCUUCCAUACGUCACUUUUAUUGUAGCUGACAGUGACUGUAAUUAUGGCUUACUUAGCCCAUGUUUAUCCAGAGCUGCCUUCUUGAUCCCCGCACUAAAAACUAUCAUCUUCAAAAGCUUCCAGGUUUGUUGUGGUCGUAGAACAGCAGACGACGAAGUACGUACUACUCGAUUUGAACAGUUCAAAGCGGCAUUUUACCAUCGGGCAGAAUCCAAACGGUUGAUGCAUUGAAAAUGUCGGAGCUCUGUUGAUGAAUUUUCACCAGCACUCUUCCACAAGACGCGCGCGAAGCAAACGAUAGCAAAGGAGAUGUGGACUUGAAUUGGUUGUUUACCACCCGUGGCUUUCCCGCAUCCCAGGAUUAGUCUUGUACACCUUUUGCACUUGUACAGAGCGUUCGGGAACGAACUUAGUUGUGGAUGGGUUUGCUGUUGACAAGCAAGGGAAGGAUUUUUACCAAACUAGAUAGGAAUGAAAUUUCUUGUGGCUGGUUUGGUUGUUGACAAGCAAGGGAAGGAUUUUUUUUACCAAAGUAGACAGGAUAUUUAUUCUUAAUCCCACAAUGUCUUGACUACAAAUCAUGCUGAAUUAGAAUAGUAUGUUGAUCGAGGCUGGGUGCCAAAGCAAUGGAUGAUAAUUGUAAGCGCGAUUGGAAAUAUCCAUGAUUUAUUAACGUUCUCUCAUGUUACGGUAUUUUAUUAAAGACAAAUUGAAGUGUA